UGCGUAGGCGGAUCAAUAAGUCAGUGGUGAAAUCUCUCGGCUCAACCGGGAAACUGCCAUUGAUACUGUUGAUCUUGAGUUCGGUUGAGGUAGGCGGAAUGUGUAAUGUAGCGGUGAAAUGCUUAGAUAUUACACAGAACACCAAUUGCGUAGGCAGCUUACUAGGCCGACACUGACGCUGAGGCACGAAAGCGUGGGGAGCGAACAGGAUUAGAUACCCUGGUAGUCC
rnacentral:rRNA from 1 species